rnacentral:rRNA from 1 species
UGGGGAAUAUUGCACAAUGGAGGGAACUCUGAUGCAGCGACGCCGCGUGAACGAAGAAGGUUUUCGAAUCGUAAAGUUCUGUCCUGGGUGAAGAUAAUGACGGUAAUCCAGGAGGAAGCCCCGGCUAACUACGUGCCAGCAGCCGCGGUAAUACGUAGGGGGCGAGCGUUGUCCGGAAUUAUUGGGCGUAAAGGGUACGUAGGCGGUUAGAUAAGUUUGGUGUGAAAGCCCGAGGCUCAACCACGGGAAGCACUGAAAACUGUUUAACUUGAAUAGUGGAAGGGAUUGUGGAAUUCCUAGUGUAGCGGUGAAAUGCGUAGAGAUUAGGAAGAAUACCAAUGGCGAAAGCAACAAUCUGGACACAUAUUGACGCUGAGGUACGAAAGCGUGGGGAGCAAACAGG